rnacentral:lncRNA from 10 species
AGAGAGAGAGGGAGAGAGAGAGAACCAAUAACGAGGCAAGGAAGGGAGGGCAGGCACCCUCUCUGGUGACACCUCCACACUGUACCGAAUGCCAAAUGCAGGUGGUGUGAGCAGGGCGCACUAACCUGCCUAAAAAUAAAGCACCAGGGGAGGGGAAGGUAAGAAACGAACCAGUCUGAAGCUGCGAGCUGGUUUUUUCCUCCUUAUCUGAGACCCACUGGUAUUCGAAGGCAUCUAAUUUAUCCUGGGCCCACUGGGCUGUGGUCAGGAGGCCAGGGCCUAUGCAGAGUUAGUCGCGUAAGGUGCCGCAGCCUGGAGAUCCAGGAAGAUCCUUCCCAGAAGCAUUUGGGAGCCAGAUUAACUGCUAAGUCAAACAUCCUCAGCACCAAGGGAAGGAAGGGCUAAUACUGGCUUGCUGAGAAUAGUGUGGGGUGGACGUCUGAUGGGGUUGAAAACUUGGCAUUUGGUGUAGCCUUGAGGGGAAGAGAUAGCUAAAAAAUAUCAGAGCCUGCAGCCAGGGGCUCUGGUUGCUACACUAGGGUGAAUGAUUAAAUUGGGUGGGGACAGAGGCGGGGAGAGGCCUGGAUGACUCCCAGGUUCCUGACUAGGUGAAUGGGAAGCCAGGGGAGGGGGCAUUUACUGAGGUGAGGACCCCCAAAAAGCAACUUGGGGGAGCAGAGUGAGUUCAGUUUGAGACAAGCUGAGUUUGAGGGCAAGAAUCCAAGAGGUGGCUGGGAAGUGGCUGGGGAAGCAGCCACCCAUCUUGCCCCUCCAGCCUCAGUUUACCUCCU